AGUGAACGCUGGCGGUAGGCCUAACACAUGCAAGUCGAACGGCAGCACAGUAAGAGCUUGCUCUUACGGGUGGCGAGUGGCGGACGGGUGAGGAAUACAUCGGAAUCUACUUUUUCGUGGGGGAUAACGUAGGGAAACUUACGCUAAUACCGCAUACGACCUACGGGUGAAAGCAGGGGAUCUUCGGACCUUGCGCGAUUGAAUGAGCCGAUGUCGGAUUAGCUAGUUGGCGGGGUAAAGGCCACCAAGGCGACGAUCCGUAGCUGGUCUGAGAGGAUGAUCAGCCACACUGGAACUGAGACACGGUCCAGACUCCUACGGGAGGCAGCAGUGGGGAAUAUUGGACAAUGGGCGCAAGCCUGAUCCAGCCAUACCGCGUGGGUGAAGAAGGCCUUCGGGUUGUAAAGCCCUUUUGUUGGGAAAGAAAAGCAGCAGGUUAAUACCCCGCUGUUCUGACGGUACCCAAAGAAUAAGCACCGGCUGACUUCGUG
rnacentral:rRNA from 1 species